UGUGUGUUUUUAUUUUUCAUUAUGUAUUUACAUGUAUAAUUAUUUACUGAAUUAAGAUUUUAUUUAAAUUAUUCUUUUUUUCAGUUGUGUCUAGUGAAGCAUUUGUUAUGUAAUUCAUUUGACAGCUGUUAAAGAGGGAGAAGAAGUUAUGGCAAUGCCUAAAGCUCAUCGAACGAAAGAUGCAAGUUCAAAGAUUCAAAGAUUUUUAUUACAUUGUAUAAUAAGGAGCAUUCGAACGUUAUAGUUGCUUUCAACGAAGUAAUGAUGCAAGAAUUGUAAGGAUGCUUAGCAGUUGAGAAGAACAUUAUAAUGCUUGAAUAUGUGUAUAGUUUGUACGAAUAUUUCAACAUAAUUAUAAUGAUUAUUACAA